GUACGUGCGCGUGUAAAUACGAGCGCCGCGCGGGGCCGGAGCCGGCUCCGUCCUGGGACCAACCCUGCGUGCCGGCCGUGAAGAACUGCGUUCCUGAGCCCUACCUACUUUUCCUCGGAGCGCCGGCACCGUGGAGCAGCGGCAUGCAACGCGGGCCGCUGUCGCCCAGUCCCAGUGACGGUCUUGGCGCGCUCGGAACUACGUAUCCCGGCGUGCACCGCGGACAGAGCAUGGCGGGACUACGAGUCCCAGCGUUCAACGCAGGCCUGCGUGCCAUUACCCCAUCACGCGCUGAGACCCAGCAUCCCGAGACUACGAGUUCCGGCAUGCACCGCGAGCCGCUCUCCUCCACUCCCAUCGCGCACUGUGAGUCGCAACGUCGCGGGACUACGGGUCCCGGCAUGCCUUGCGCGCCGCGGGCCCAGAGACGUGAGGCUGUCGGCGUCCUGGUGGCCCCGCCUCGUGUCCCCCCCCGGACCCCACGCCGCGGGAGCUUGGGGGUUGCGGUCUUCUCUUCCUCCGACCUCACCUUCGAUGCGGAAGCGCAGGGGCAGGUGCGCCGCCCUCGGCCCGCGCAGGCGGUGGGCCCGUCUGGGGCAAGGCGCCCGGAAGCGCCUGGUUGGUUCAGAAAAUCGGACCGCAGCGGGAGGGCGGGCACCGGCGCGUGGUCUCAGUGGCCCCAGGCGAACCCUGAUGAGCAGCAGCCGCAAGUGGCUUACUAAAGGAGCCACUUUCUACGUUUGUCUGGAAUUUACGUGAAUUAAGCUGGCGGGCGGGCGGCCAGGCCUGUAGUCUCAGCACUUUGGGAGGCUCAGCACUUCGGGAGGCUGUGGCGGGCGGAUCACCUGAGCCUGGGAGUUGGAGACCAGCCUGCGCAACGUAGCAAGACCCUAUCUCUAAAACAGAUUCAUUAAUACUUAGCCAGGCGCGGUGGCUGAGGUCCCAGCUACUCGGCAGGCCCAGGCUGGCCUGAGCCAGACCGCUCUGGACUGUUUUAAUUUUUUCAGCCUUAAUACCUGCCAGAAUUUUUUUUUUACUAUGUAUCUUUGUCCUUACGUAUAUAAAUUUUAUAUACAAUUGAGAUUAUCCUGUAUUUGCUUUUCCCCCCUCACUUUUAUAUGGUGACUUUUCUCAUGUUAGGCUGAAUACUAACAUUUUGGAAACUGUCGGCCUGAAAACGAGCGGAGACACAGUUUCUCUAAGUAGAGAGUUUAUUUGGGCCACACUUGAGCACAAAUUCAAGGCGCCCUGAAUGUGUACUCCGAUUAGCAGUUAACAGUGGAUUUUAAAGGCAAAAAAGGGGGCCAGGGAGUGGACUAAUAGGAACUUGUUUGUGAGGAAUUCUCACUGGUUUACAGAAAUAACAUUGAUUAGUGACUGACUAUAUGUUGUUCAGCUAUUGAGUGUGGGUAUAGUGUCCAUUGUGGCGUCAUUAGGUUAAUUUAUAGCUGUUUGUGGCGCUGUUGCCACCAGUAGCAGUUUAAAGAGGUGAACACAGGUCAAGGGGUAGUAGGGCGCGAUUGUCGCCUCAUUUGAAUGUCUCUCUCGGCCUGAUAAUUAAAAGAACUCGCGUUCCUCAGAUAAAAAUUCUCUUUUCUCAAAACCAUUUAAAUGUGGUAAUUAGAAUGGCCCAGAAGGGGCACAGUGCCUUUUAGCCCUCGCCAUUACUUGCUCUUAGGAGUGCAUUUUUUGUAGCUGUGGGUUUUUGACUAUCUCUGCUGCUUUCUCCAGCCCCUACCCUCGUGACUACAAGGGAAAACGUGCGGUGCUCACGAGAGAGCCUUUAUGGGAUUUUUAAAAAAUGGGGAUUGUGGGAAAAUGGCUCCAGCAGUCACAGUUUUUCAGUUUCUCACAAUCCCAUAAAAACAGAGCAACCAGGUAACAAAACUAAAGCAUGGGCAACAUUUACAGACCACUGGAUGGUGAAGAAUUCCCAUGAACCCCUGGUUCACACUGUAAGGACACACUACUCAGCAUGGGCAACAUUUACAGACUACUGGAUGGUGAAGAAUUCCCAUGAACCCCUGGUUCACACUGUAAGGACAGACUACUCAGCAUGGGCAACAUUUACAGACCACUGGAUGAUGAAGAAUUCCCAUGAACUCCUGGUUCCAACUGUAAGGACACACUACUCAGCUGUAGCCUGAAGCCGCCUCCUUACAUACUGAAAGUGACGUGUGCAUAUUCCACUUGGGGCCUGGGGCAACACCCUCAUCAAACUGAUAUUCCUGCAGCAAAAUACAAGCAGGACGAAAAGGAUCAUGGGUCGUCUCGUGCCAAAUCAGGUUAGACUUUCCGCCAAAUGAAGUACACAAAACUUUCCAUGUUUAGGACUAUGAAUUUGGGCCAGGCACUGUGACUCAUGCCUGUAAUCCCAGCACUUUGAGAGGCUGAGACAGGUGGAUCACUUGAGCCCGGGAGUUCAAGACCAACCUGGGCAACAUAGUGAGACCUCAUUUCUACAAAAAAUUAGCUGAGUGUGGUGGUGUGCACCUGUCUGGAGUCCCAGCUACUCAGGAGGCUGAGGUGGGAGGAUCCAUUGAGCCUAGGAGGUCAAGGCUGCAGUGAGCUGUGAUUGCACCACUGUCCUCCAGUCUGAGCAACAGAGCGAGACCCUGUCUUAAAAAAAAUGGAUACUGGGGCCACAGAUAAGAGGUAUGGGACUGUAAUGCAGUCACCUUUACGUAGUGGCUCAGGGGAAAAGGAGGAAUCCCAGUCCCCAGAAUUCUAGUUUUAUCUACGUCACGGGUGGUUUUGGUGAAACCUGGAAGGAUUCUGUGGUCACUUUUCCUCACUGAUGUAUGUUUCCUCCAAACUCAACUGUGUCAUUUGAUUAGCAUGCAAGGGUCUGUGCUAGCAAGGCCAGAACAAAAGGAGGUUAAGGGGAAGGACAGCAGUUGUAGGAAUAGAAUAUGGCCUUGGGGAGUCCAAGAUCUCCUGGGCCUGGGUAUCUGUGUGUGAACAUCAUCUGCACGUAUGUGACUAUGCUUGGGGCCCUUUAACUGUUGCACAGGCCAACAUGUGGCCCCCAAGACCCUUAUCUGACACCUUAUGUGAAAACUCAGUGGAUUAAAGACUAAACAAGAAAUAAAGGUAUACAAUUUCUAGAAGAAAACGGGAAAAAUUUAUGACAUUGGAUUUAGCAGUGAUUUAUUGGAUAUGACACCAAAGACACGGGCAACAAAAGUAAAACUAAGACGACAUCAGGCUUAGAAACUUCUGUGCAUCGAAGGACACAAUCAACCUUUCCCUUCUGUGCAGGGAAAAGGUAACCUGUGGAAUGUGAGAAAAUAUCUGCAAAUCAUAUAUCUGAUAAGGGGUUAAUAUCUGGAAUAUAUAGACAACCACCACUCAACAGUAAAACAAGUCACCUCAUUUAAAAAUGAGCAAGGGACUUCAACAGACACUUCUCUGAAGAGGAUAUACAGUCAGCACUCUAUCGAUGGGUUUUGCAUCCCUGGAUGUAACCAGCCAGGGAUUGAAAAUAUUUUUAUUAAAAAAAUGUGCCCAUGCUGAACAUGUACAGACUUUCCUUCUCAUUGUUCUCUAAACAAUAUAGUGUAACAACUAUUUACAUAGCAUUUACUUUGCAUUAGCUAUUAUAAGUAAUCUAGUGACGAUUUAAAGGAUGCAGGAGGGUGUGCAUAGGUUACAGGCAAAUACUCCCAACAUCCUUAGAUUUUGGUCCGUGGGAGGUUCUGGAACCAGUCCCCCACAGAUACCAAGGGACAGUCGUAUUUACAGAUGACCAGUAGGCACAUGAAAAGAUGCUCAAAAUCACUGACCAUUAGAGAAAUGCGAACCACAGUCACAAUGAGAUGAUCACUCCAUACUCAUGAGGAUGGCUAUGAUGAAAAACAGCAUGGAGUUAGGAUGGCUGUGAUGAAAACAGCAUGGAGGUUUUCCUCAGAGUUAGCAUGUGAUCCAGGAAUCCCACCUGUACGUAUUUACCCAAAGAAUUGAAAGCAAAGUCUAAAGAGCCACUUGCACACCAUGUUCACAGCUGCACUGUUCACAGUAGCCAAGAGGCAGAAACAACAUAGCGUCAAUCAACAGAUGAAUGGACAAGCCAGGUGGCCUGUGAGAUGGGAUAUUAUUAAGCCUUAAAAAGGAAUGAAGGCCAGGCACAGUGUCUCAUGCCUGUAAUCCCAGCACUUUGGGAGGCCGAGGUGGGUGGAUCACGAGGUCAGGAGAUCGAGACCAUCCUGGCUAACAUGGUGAAACCCCAUCUCUACUAAAAAUACAAAGAAUUAGCCGGGUGUGGUGGUGGGCACCUGUAGUCCCAGCUACUCCGGAGGCUGAGGCAGGAGAAUGGUGUGAACUGGGAGGCGGAGCUUGCGGUGAGCCGAGAUCGCGCCACUGCACUCCAGCCUUGGCGACAGAGCAAGACUCCAUCUCCAAAAAAAAAAAGGAAUGAAAUUCUGACCCAUGCUACAACAUGGGUGAACCUUGAAGAAACUAUGCCAAGUGAAAUAAGCCAGCUGCGAAAAGGCAAAUACUGUCUUUUUUUUUUUUUCUUUUGAGACAGAGUCUUGCUCUGUUGCCAAGCUGGAGUGCAGUGGCAUGAUCUUGGCUGUGCAAUACCGUCUUAUUCCCCUUCUGUGAGAUGCCUAAAGUCAAAUUUAUAGAAACAGAAAACAAAAUGGUAGUUACCAGGGCUGGGGGCAGGGUGGGCAGUUGUUUGAUGGGUACAGAGUUUUAGUUUUGCAAGAUAAAAAAAAUUCAGACCAAUAUGAAUAAACAAUGCUACUAAAGUGUACACUUAAAAACAGUUAAUAUGGUAAAUUUUAUGUAUUUUUUAACCACAAUUAAAAUGUAUUAUUAUUUUUUAUUGAGAUGGAAUCUUGCUCUGUUGCCCAGGGUGGAGUGCGGUGGUGCAAUCUCGGCUCACUGCAACCCCCAUCUCUCGGGUUCAAGCAGUUCUCCUGCCUCAGCCUCCUGAAUAGAUGGGACUACGGGCACCCACCACCAUGCCCGGCUAAUUUUUGUAUUUUCAGUAGAGAUGGGAUUUCACCAUGUUGGCCAGGCUGGUCUCAAACUCCUGGGUUCAAGUGAUCCACGCAUCUUGGCCUCCCAAAGUGCUGGGAUAACAGGCGUGAGCCACCACACCCGGCCUGGAGUUAACAUUUAAAAAGUGUAAGAGGCCUCUACUGGAAUUAGAUGAUUAUUUUUCAGACUUAUUUUUAGAGAUCACUUUGCAGAGUUCUGCUUAAUUUGUGGCAUAAUAGAAUAAAUAUUCCGAUUUCUGAACUAAAUAAUCUGAGAAUGUACUCAUUUCAUAAUGUGAACCAGAAUUGCUUGAGAAGCACAGAGGUAAUGGGAAUUAAGUACAUUUAAAAAAGCAAAUUCCAGGUCUAUUUAGAUGCUCUUUAAAGACCAUUGCCUGUGACACCUGUUUCUAAAAGUUAAUAAUCUCUAGGCCAAAAAAGAAAAGAAAAUGAAAUGUUAACCAGUUUUUACUCCCCUUGAUGACUUUCUUUUUUCCUUUUUUUACUUUCCUUUGUGAUUUCUUUGUGAGUUCUUCCUAACUUCCCAUUCAGGCCAAAAUCAUGAACAGCUUUAGAUGUUGGUUACACUGUGAAUCUUAACACUGAGAACCCACUUACCUUGCUAAGCAUCUCUGCAGAGGCAAGGAUGGUGCUUAUUGUCGGGGGCAGAUGACACUUUGCCAGCUGCUGUACCAAGUGCAUUGCAGAGCCUGGUCUCAUUUCAUCUGCACCAUGACUCACUGAGGUAGCUACGGUUUCCAGCUUACAGAUAAGAGAGGAAAGCGAGGCCUGCGGAGGUUUGGGUGCUCAGCUGCACAGCCAGGAGCGGGCAGGACUGGCAUCUGGAAGCCAGGUGGCUGACUGCAGACCCUGCUCCCGUUACCUCCGCUAGACGUCUUUGUGAUCUCAGCUGAUGAAGGGGCCGUACUCCAGGGCCGUCAAAACGAAACGGGACAGCUUUUUCGAUAAAUACAAUUUAUCUGAAUAAUGUAGGAAAUACAGAAUAUAGUUGAUGUUUUGUUUGGUGUUUUAUUUUUGCCCUCCUUACAAGAGGACUGGCAGGAAGGGGACGGAGGCCGCUAGACUGGUCUGACUUCAGGGGCAGGUGAGAAUGAUGCCUUGGGCUGGGCUCACCGUGCCUAAGUGUGCAGUACAGAGAAGGCAAGGCUCUAGGGAGGUGAGGGCAGGCUGGCGGGUGGACGCAGCUCCCUGCUUCCUGCGUUUCACAGAGCCCAGCUGGCCCCUGGUCCUGAUGCCAUUUGAAGGAAAAUGUCAGGAGCCAGAUCAGGGCAGCAAGGAGUGGAGGCUCCUUUCAUUCCUCCAUACCCACUAGCUGUCACAUAAGGCAACAGUUCUGCCCCCUCAGGGAGCUGCCUCACUCAGGCUCACGUUCAGGUUCCGAGCUUUGAACUUCAGUCAGUGUGCCAGCUGUCUGCUGAAUUUCAGUCUCAACAUACGAGGAAUGGAAGGAAAUUUCUUUAGCUUGAUAAACAGCCUCUACAAAAAACCUGUAGCUGACAUCAGACUCAAUGCUUGAAGAUGGGAGGCCUUCGCCUAAAAUCAGGAAUAAAACAAGAGCGGCUUGCCCCUUCUAGGUAAUUGUGUACAGAAGGCUCUAGCCAGGGCAGUUAGUCAAGAAAAAAAGCAUCCAAUUCAAAAGAAAGGUAUAAAACAAUCUCUAGAGAUUGUUGAAGAUGGCUUAAUCUUUUAUGUAAAAAAAGCCUAUGGCAGGGCACAAUGGCUCACACCUAUGAUCCCAGUGCUUUGGGAGGCCAAGGUGAGAGGACUGCUUGAGCCCAGGAGUUCAAGGCCAGCCAGGGCAACACAGUGAGACCCCAUCUCUACAAAACAAACAAACAAACAACCUAUGGAAUCUUUUUUUUUUGAGACGAGUUUUGCUCUUGUUACCCAGGCUGGAGUGCAGUGGCGCGUUCUCAGCUCACUGUAACCUCUACCUCCUGGGUUCAAGCAAUUCUCCUGCCUCAGCCUCCCGAGUAGCUGGGAUUACAGGCACCCGCCACCACACCUGGCUAAUUUUUGUAUUUUUGGUAGAGACAGGGUUUCACCAUGUUGGCCAGGCUGGUCUGCAACUCCUGACCUCAGGUGAUCUGCCCACCUUGGCCUCCCAAAGUGCUGGGAUUACAGGCAUGAGCCACCGCGCCCGGCUGGAAUUCAUUUUAAAAACCUUAGAAAAACCAUGUUUAGCAAUGUUGCAGGAUAUAAAUUGUGUUUCUAUAUACCAGCAAUGAGAAAGCCA
rnacentral:lncRNA from 1 species